AGGGAAUAUUGGUCAAUGGAGGCAACUCUGAACCAGCCAUGCCGCGUGCAGGAAGACUGCCCUAUGGGUUGUAAACUGCUUUUGUACGGGAAGAAAUGUUGCUACGUGUAGCAACUUGACGGUACCGUAAGAAUAAGGAUCGGCUAACUUCGUGCCAGCAGCCGCGGUAAUACGAAGGAUCCAAGCGUUGUCCGGAUUUACUGGGUUUAAAGGGAGCGUAGGCGGUCUCAUAAGUCAGUGGUGAAAGCCUUCAGCUUAACUGAAGAAUUGCCAUUGAAACUGCGAGACUCGAGUAUGGUUGAGGUCACUGGAAUAUAACAUGUAGCGGUGAAAUGCUUAGAUAUGUUAUAGAACACCAAUUGCGAAGGCAGGUGACUAAGCCAUAACUGACGCUGAGGCUCGAAAGCGUGGGGAGCAAAC
rnacentral:rRNA from 1 species